rnacentral:lncRNA from 1 species
GAAGGCGGGCUGCGGAGAAGGCAGCACCGGCCCUGCGCUGCGGACGGCGACCACGGCCGCGCGGGACCUCGGGCCGGAGAGCCCCGGCGGCGGCCGCCCCUCGCGGCGGAGCCGUUAGUCAGCAGAACGCGAACGCGCGUGGAGGGGCCCCACGAAGCGCGCCCGGGCACCGCAGCUCUCUUUCGCGUCCUCGCCGGGCCGGGCCGCGGGCGCAGAGUCGGCGGGCGGCGCCCCGCGGAGGACAGCGCGUUGGCGGCCGCGGCCGCCCAGCUGCAGGUGCGUGGGGCUGGGCUGCUGGGCCGUCGGGGGGUCGCCGCUCUGAGCUGGGGACCAGGCCGGGUGGCUUCGGAGCGGAGCUACCGAGCGGAGAGCCGUGCGUCCCGGGCCUCCUCGCCCGCAGGGAGGACCGCAAGAUGGGGUCGGGCCGCCGCUCCCCUCCCUGGAUCUGGGCCACUUCGGGCCCUCGCUCUCGGCUCGGUGUCCGGGUCCCGCCAGCCUCGAUUUUAGAUGGAGUCCGCCCGGAGCUUGAGCUGGGUAUCCCGCUCCGCUUGUCGCGGGAGCUGCUUUCCAUGGCUUGAACUUGUAUCAUCUCUGAUUGAGAACUCAAGGAGGGAGAGGUUGGAUUUGAAUUGAAAGUUGGAGAGUUCUGUUUGAAAUUGUAUUUAAUAUUAAACCAGGAAAGUUGUGUCAAAUUAUAGUGUGUGGAGGACGUUCGGAGAGUUUAACCUCCCUCCGCUUCUGUUGAAAGAAAGAAAG